rnacentral:rRNA from 1 species
GGUUGCGAUCAUACCAGCACUAAUGCACCGGAUCCCAUCAGAACUCCGCAGCUAAGCGUGCUUGGGCGAGAGUAGUACUAGGAUGGGUGACCCCCUGGGAAGUCCUCGUGUUGCAACCCC